UGCAAGUAUCAGACGAAUAAGCAUCGGCUAACUCCGUGCCAGCAGCCGCGGUAAUACGGAGGAUGCGAGCGUUAUCCGGAUUUAUUGGGUUUAAAGGGUGCGUAGGCGGAAUGUUAAGUCAGUGGUAAAAGCGUGUGGCUCAACCAUACCAAGCCGUUGAUACUGGCGUUCUUGAGUGUAAACGAGGUAGGCGGAAUAUGACGUGUAGCGGUGAAAUGCUUAGAUAUGUCAUAGAACCCCGAUUGCGAAGGCAGCUUACCAGCAUACAACUGACGCUGAGGCACGAAAGCGUGGGUAUCAAACAGGAUUAGAUACCCUG
rnacentral:rRNA from 1 species